rfam:Enterococcus durans ATCC 6056 genomic scaffold acyDB-supercont2.1, whole genome shotgun sequence.
UAUUAUGAGAGUUUGAUCCUGGCUCAGGACGAACGCUGGCGGCGUGCCUAAUACAUGCAAGUCGUACGCUUCUUUUUCCACCGGAGCUUGCUCCACCGGAAAAAGAAGAGUGGCGAACGGGUGAGUAACACGUGGGUAACCUGCCCAUCAGAAGGGGAUAACACUUGGAAACAGGUGCUAAUACCGUAUAACAAUCGAAACCGCAUGGUUUUGAUUUGAAAGGCGCUUUCGGGUGUCGCUGAUGGAUGGACCCGCGGUGCAUUAGCUAGUUGGUGAGGUAACGGCUCACCAAGGCCACGAUGCAUAGCCGACCUGAGAGGGUGAUCGGCCACAUUGGGACUGAGACACGGCCCAAACUCCUACGGGAGGCAGCAGUAGGGAAUCUUCGGCAAUGGACGAAAGUCUGACCGAGCAACGCCGCGUGAGUGAAGAAGGUUUUCGGAUCGUAAAACUCUGUUGUUAGAGAAGAACAAGGAUGAGAGUAACUGUUCAUCCCUUGACGGUAUCUAACCAGAAAGCCACGGCUAACUACGUGCCAGCAGCCGCGGUAAUACGUAGGUGGCAAGCGUUGUCCGGAUUUAUUGGGCGUAAAGCGAGCGCAGGCGGUUUCUUAAGUCUGAUGUGAAAGCCCCCGGCUCAACCGGGGAGGGUCAUUGGAAACUGGGAGACUUGAGUGCAGAAGAGGAGAGUGGAAUUCCAUGUGUAGCGGUGAAAUGCGUAGAUAUAUGGAGGAACACCAGUGGCGAAGGCGGCUCUCUGGUCUGUAACUGACGCUGAGGCUCGAAAGCGUGGGGAGCAAACAGGAUUAGAUACCCUGGUAGUCCACGCCGUAAACGAUGAGUGCUAAGUGUUGGAGGGUUUCCGCCCUUCAGUGCUGCAGCUAACGCAUUAAGCACUCCGCCUGGGGAGUACGACCGCAAGGUUGAAACUCAAAGGAAUUGACGGGGGCCCGCACAAGCGGUGGAGCAUGUGGUUUAAUUCGAAGCAACGCGAAGAACCUUACCAGGUCUUGACAUCCUUUGACCACUCUAGAGAUAGAGCUUCCCCUUCGGGGGCAAAGUGACAGGUGGUGCAUGGUUGUCGUCAGCUCGUGUCGUGAGAUGUUGGGUUAAGUCCCGCAACGAGCGCAACCCUUAUUGUUAGUUGCCAUCAUUUAGUUGGGCACUCUAGCAAGACUGCCGGUGACAAACCGGAGGAAGGUGGGGAUGACGUCAAAUCAUCAUGCCCCUUAUGACCUGGGCUACACACGUGCUACAAUGGGAAGUACAACGAGUCGCGAAGUCGCGAGGCUAAGCUAAUCUCUUAAAGCUUCUCUCAGUUCGGAUUGUAGGCUGCAACUCGCCUACAUGAAGCCGGAAUCGCUAGUAAUCGCGGAUCAGCACGCCGCGGUGAAUACGUUCCCGGGCCUUGUACACACCGCCCGUCACACCACGAGAGUUUGUAACACCCGAAGUCGGUGAGGUAACCUUUUGGAGCCAGCCGCCUAAGGUGGGAUAGAUGAUUGGGGUGAAGUCGUAACAAGGUAGCCGUAUCGGAAGGUGCGGCUGGAUCACCUCCUUU